rnacentral:lncRNA from 1 species
AGCGCUUUAAGACACUACAUUAUACAUUUAAAAUCACUCUCCAACAACCAAAUUACACCAAUUUUGUCUACCAAUUUAUUUUGUUUUUGUCCCAUCUCUUUUAAGCAUUUUGACAAACACUUGGUGGACAUAUAAUUUACUACCACAAGAAUCAAUUUUUCUUUUUUUUUACAAUCAUGGCAAUAUUUUUAGCAAUAAUUAUAUCACAACCGUCCACC